UCUUCUUUAGAUCCCUUGAGCAAAAUUAUAAAUAACGAUACCUGGAAUACUUAUCCUGGUGAAAUGCUACAAUGAGGUGUUUUAUCUGUGCGCUUGCGGAUAGAAUAGAUUAUUUUCUUGAGAGCCUUUACAUUUAUAAAUACCUUUGUACACUCUGGCGCCAUGCUAGGGAUGACAACCUAGUAUCUAAGUGAUGUUAGCUAGUGUCAACAAUAAUUUUUACAGUCAAGCCCGAACCAGUGACAUGGAACACCCCACUCUUAGGAUGUUUCACAAAUGGCUUGGGUACAAUCUUUUCUAUCGUGACGAUAUUAGGAAAGUAAGAGUAGGAGAUUUACAACUUUUAUAUGCUGCUAUUAGUAAAGUACCUACUUCAUCUGUUACACUAUUAGUUUCUCAUUGGCUUAGUAUACCUAGUCUUCAGGGACCAGUAGGAUGUACUUCACUUAUCACUCACCUAGCCAAUCUUCACUUACUAGAAAACUCAUCGUUGGACUUCAUAGAAGAAUUAAGAAUUGAUCAUGGCUAUGACACAUUUAGACAAGCUCGGAUGUUAAAGAAAGAGGGAAAUAUAAUGUACAUGCUAUAUGAUGAUAAAGGCAAGAUUCGGUUACCUAACCCGAACCUUGGCCUCUACACUGUGCAAAACUUUUUGAUUGAGAUUGCAGCAACACCAGUGAACCAGAGAACUCCACAGCGAGUAGCAUCUGAAAGGAUAACCACUCACCGAGAACGCACUUGGUAUGGAGCUGACCCUGGACCAGAAGAAGCAGCGCACCUGCAUUAUUGCGAUUACAAUCCACGAGUCCUUCAAAACCCAUGGGCUCGAUAUGCGCAACCACAAGAGCCAACAGAGGAGACAUGGCCGGAGAGCCAAGAUCACCAGUGGACAAACCCGCCUUUUCAUACGGGCAGGUACUCCACUGAUCCAUAUGGAGCUUCAGGAUCCAGACCUCCGCCCCAAUUUGAUGCAGGACGAUACUCUGACACCUCCUACGCUUUCACGAAUGUCUACUAUCAAGAGGCUGGUGCUUUCUUCACUCGUACCGACAACACCCUCCUCGACAUCCAGAACACGCAAGCAGAACAUGGAAGACUCCUGGAAGAGCAACAAAAAUGGAACCAGGACCAUGCAGCUGCAGUAGAAGAGCUGAGACAAGAUACAACAACAAUGAAUGACAACAUCACAACCAUGAUGCGGUUCUGGAACAUCGGGGAAGACCGACGUCAACAUCCAGCUUGGGGGAGUUCCUCCUCAAAUUAUCAAGUAAGUUUUUAUUUGCUCUUCUUAUAUAUUCUAUUCUGUCUUAGUAUUUAAUUAAUCUUAAAAGGAAAAACUUAGAAAACCAAAUAAAUAUUUUCUUGCUUUUAUUCACUGCACUUUAAUAAACAUGAAAACAAAAUAAAAAGAGUGUGUAGAUAAGUGUGCUUUAUUUUCCUGCUAAGUUUAAUCUCUAGAAAAAAUAAAAAGACCAAAAAUAUGCAUGAUGGAAAUGAUGAACAGUUGCUCUGUUUGCUUACUUACAAGUACCUAGCUUUUAUAUUAGAGUUCUUCCAGGAAUUACUAAAACUAAACUUACUAUCUUUGGGAAGCAUAAAACUAAAGUCUAGGUAAGAGAAAGGCAUGAUAUAAAGUUGAGCUGCUGUUUAUCUUGUUCCUACUACACUAAGUUCUGGAGAUUUAUUUUGAAAACUUCCAAGUCACAUGAUGAGUUCCUAGCAUACAAAACUACCUACCACAGCCAUACUUAACAUCUUUUACUAUAUUCACAUUGAGUUUGAUCGAGUUGUGUAGACCCUUAGGAGCUUUUCAUGUGGUUAAAUUAAGAUAUUCACUUGCACACAUCUACCACAGCAUUCACCAUCAAUCAUUAAAAUUGCUAAAAAUAUUUUCACUCACUAUCCCUAAUAUUGUUAUUCUCUCUCUCUAAAAAGAUUCAAUGCAGAACAGGCAUGGGUUAUGCUAAAGUAUACGAGGAAAUAAAAAGGGGCAGGUGCCCGGAACCUUGAUAAAGAAGGAAAAAGAGUGAGACGAGAGGUAAAAAUGGACAAGUGUCCGAAGUAGAAUUCGGGGUACAAAGAUGCCCACUUGAGCGGAAAAAAUGGACAAGUGUCCGACAGUAGAAUUGGGGGUAUCUACUACCCACCUGAAAAAAAAGAGAAAGAGAAAAAGAGAUAGCCCAUGUUCUCCCAAAGCAAAGAUCAAAGAAGAGGCGAGAUAGCAAUAUGAGGAGCAAUGAGAAGUAAGUUAUCACUUAUGCAUUUUCACCAUCACUAUCAUUUACUCCAUCACACAUGCACAUCUUGAUUUAAUUAUAUGCUGAGUUCCUUUGGAUCCAUGGCUCGAUUAGACAACAUAUGUAUGAGCUGUUUAUCACUCCUAUGAGCUCCACUUAAAUAUUUCAUUAGCUAUAGGUAAGUGAUAUCAUGGUAAGGAUCCACAAAUACCACAUAUAGAUAGACUUGAGAGAAUCAUUGCUGGGAACUCUGAAUUUUAUUUUGAAAACUUAUGAAAAACUCUAGAACAAAGGUGAAGUAUGGACAAGAGGGAUAGUGCUUGACUUAACUAUUUUGUCUUUUGAUUACUUAAGACUUAGGUACAGGUACUAAACUUCAUAACACUUCACUUUAAUCUGGAAGAAUUUUUAUGUAAAAGCAUGUGUGCCUGUCAGGAAAGAAAACAUCGAAGCAACUCCUGAUCCGUCUGAGUUUAGCUGUUUGCUCAGGGACCAGCAAAGGGUAAGCUUGGGGGAGUUUGUUGACGGUCCUUAAGUACUAAAAUUAAUAAUCAAAUAAACAUGAAAAAGGAUCAAUAUGAAACAAACAUCUAGAAUUAGGGUUUUAUCUGACACAAUUCCACGAGUUUUGGUGUUUAUCUAUUUCUGCAGGGGUUUAUCAGAAAAUAUGGAGAGAAGGCCCACAUGUCAUGUUUACAACGAGAUAAUUACGUGCCGCGCAAUUUUCUGCCAUCUAGAAGGAUCCAGAAGCCACGGGAACGAACGGGAGGCGAUUCGGGCUCGGGGCUGGGCGGGCGCCCGCCCUGGCCAGGAAGCCAAACAGGACUCUGCUUCGGGGCAAGACUCCACCGACCUAAAGGAUCAAUCUAAACCAUACAAUCUAUGUCGGUUUGAUCCAAUGGCUCACGUUCACUUGAGGGGACUAUAAAACCAGACCCCCUGGCCCCUGGAGGAGGAGAGGAGAAAUCAUUAUUCAGAGGUAGCCAUCAAAGUUAGGGUUUAGAUCUCUCUCCCACAGAGAAUUAGAAUUAGCUACUCCCUAAUCCUUCAAGUUUAGAGGUUGAUUAGAUAGCAAUUAGAGAAGUAGAGCACUACGCUCUGGAUUCGGAUCUUCGGUAAUAAAGAUUGGUAUUAUUCAUAUCUUUCUCUAAUUCUAUUGUUCUAAUUGCAUUAUGUCUCUAAUUAUUAUUUCUUAGUUUGCUCCAGUUCUAUAUUUGAUAUAGUUCUAAUUGAUAAUGAGUUUAUGUAUAAGUUUGCAAAGCGCUUAGCUCUUGACGCGAGGGAGUUAGGUGAUAGAUCACAUGUGAGCGUGGUGCUUAGAUGUUAUUUAUCUGCAAAUGUAUCCUAUUGGCCGGGUCGUGUGGUAGUUCGCGAUAGUGACAGCUUCAUUGAUUCUUAUAUAGUCCACCCUCCGUUGAUAGGACAGGCAGAACCGGUAUUGUGGAGUAAGUCAUGUGAUGCUCUCAUUUACUUUAUCAAUGUUCCUUGUACAUGAAUGAAGAGUCUUUUAUGCUAUAUAUGAUCUUGUAGAUAACUAGAGUAGAUUAUGACUUAGUAGUUAGUAGAUAACUUAGAAUCCAUUCUCUAGCUAAUCCGACAUCACCUACAUAUAUGAGGAGUAGUCUAUUUUCUAAUCGCUGUGCUAUCUACCCAUGAACUUAUACUUUAUUAUCAUUAUCUUUAUGGUUUACCCCCUGCUAAAGUAAGUGACUAUGUGACGAGUUUCUCAUUAGUAAUCAAGUUCUUGCAAGUUUAUCUCUAGUCUAUGCCUUGAUAGAUUUUGUCCCUUGAUUUAAUUCCAUCUUCUUGAGAUCCCUUGAGCAAAAUUAUAAAUAACGAUACCUGGAAUACUUAUCCUGGUGAAAUGCUACAAUGAGGUGUUUUAUCUGCGCGCUUGCGGAUAGAAUAGAUUAUUUUCUAGAGAGCCUUUACAUUUAUAAAUACCUUUGUACACUCUGGCGCCAUGCUAGGGAUGACAACCUAGUAUCUAAGUGGUGUUAGCUAGUGUC
rnacentral:lncRNA from 1 species